rnacentral:rRNA from 1 species
AACGCUGGCGGCGUGCUUAACACAUGCAAGUCGAACGGUGAAGCAGAGCUUGCUCUGUGGAUCAGUGGCGAACGGGUGAGUAACACGUGAGCAAUCUGCCCCUGACUCUGGGAUAAGCGCUGGAAACGGCGUCUAAUACCGGAUACGAGCUGCGACCGCAUGGUCAGUAGCUGGAAAGAAUUUCGGUCAGGGAUGAGCUCGCGGCCUAUCAGCUUGUUGGUGAGGUAAUGGCUCACCAAGGCGUCGACGGGUAGCCGGCCUGAGAGGGUGACCGGCCACACUGGGACUGAGACACGGCCCAGACUCCUACGGGAGGCAGCAGUGGGGAAUAUUGCACAAUGGGCGCAAGCCUGAUGCAGCAACGCCGCGUGAGGGAUGACGGCCUUCGGGUUGUAAACCUCUUUUAGCAGGGAAGAAGCGAAAGUGACGGUACCUGCAGAAAAAGCGCCGGCUAACUACGUGCCAGCAGCCGCGGUAAUACGUAGGGCGCAAGCGUUAUCCGGAAUUAUUGGGCGUAAAGAGCUCGUAGGCGGUCUGUCGCGUCUGCUGUGAAAACCCGAGGCUCAACCUCGGGCCUGCAGUGGGUACGGGCAGACUAGAGUGCGGUAGGGGAGAUUGGAAUUCCUGGUGUAGCGGUGGAAUGCGCAGAUAUCAGGAGGAACACCGAUGGCGAAGGCAGAUCUCUGGGCCGUAACUGACGCUGAGGAGCGAAAGGGUGGGGAGCAAACAGGCUUAGAUACCCUGGUAGUCCACCCCG